rnacentral:rRNA from 1 species
UACGGGGGGAGCAAGCGUUGUUCGGAUUUACUGGGCGUAAAGGGCGCGUAGGCGGUAGCACAAGUCAGUUGUGAAAUCUCCGGGCUUAACUCGGAAAGGUCAACUGAUACUGUGCGACUAGAGUGCAGAAGGGGCAACUGGAAUUCUCGGUGUAGCGGUGAAAUGCGUAGAUAUCGAGAGGAACACCUGCGGCGAAGGCGGGUUGCUGGGCCGUCCCUGACGCUGAGGCGCGAAGGCGUGGGGAGCGAACGGG